GUGGGGAAUAUUACACAAUGGGCGCAAGCCUGAUGCAGCAACGCCGCGUGAGGGAUGACGGCCUUCGGGUUGUAAACCUCUUUUAGUAGGGAAGAAGCGAAAGUGACGGUACCUGCAGAAAAAGCACCGGCUAACUACGUGCCAGCAGCCGCGGUAAUACGUAGGGUGCAAGCGUUGUCCGGAAUUAUUGGGCGUAAAGAGCUCGUAGGCGGCUUGUCGCGUCUGCUGUGAAAACCCGAGGCUCAACCUCGGGCCUGCAGUGGGUACGGGCAGGCUAGAGUGCGGUAGGGGAGAUUGGAAUUCCUGGUGUAGCGGUGGAAUGCGCAGAUAUCAGGAGGAACACCGAUGGCGAAGGCAGAUCUCUGGGCCGUAACUGACGCUGAGGAGCGAAAGCAUGGGGAGCGAACAGGAUUAGAAACCCUAGUAGUCC
rnacentral:rRNA from 1 species